UUUUCUCAAGAUUCAAAAAUCAAGAAAAGCCAGAAGCUCCUCCAGCAAGUUUCUACGGGUUCCGGCGGCCAGCUUCAACAGUCUCAGUUCACUUGCAGGGGUAUCAGCGUCUCAUGGAGGCAUACAUUUAGGACGCCCAACACUCUCGCAGAUCUCAUGGCAAAUAACGAAGCCGACCUCACAAACUGUCUUGGACUACCUCUAAGCUAGCUGAUGAGCCUUUCUCUCCUUUUUGUUAACUACUCACAUACAUGUUGUGAAUAGGGUGUUAUAUAAACCCUUGCAGAGCCAACUCAUUGUUGUCACAGUAUUGGACUCUUUUUUGGCUUUUUUGUAAAGGGAUUACCUUGCCCAUUAGGGUUCUGGGAGAUCCCAAUAUUUGUAAGGGACGCUAGAACCAACACCUGUAUUUACUUCUUUUUUUUAUUCAAUGAAACAAUUAACUUUCUGAAAAAAAA